GGAAGAUGAUAUAUACUGCCUCGUUUCCGCGAUUCUCGUGUCGCGUUCGUCCUACGUGUUUUAUCGAAUCCCUUCUAUCUCUCUGCCUGAGCUAUAUUUACUUCUUUUUUUUCUUUUUUUUUUCUCUUUUUUUUUUUCAUUUUUGCCUCUGUCGCCUCUCCUCCUCUGCUCAUCCUGGAACGCGACAAUGCGCCCUUUCCUCGAAUCGGUUCGAAUUGUUGUGAAUGGGUUUGAUCUGUAGGAUGGGUGGCGGGGUGUUUUGUAUUGUGUUGAAAGCAACGUCAUAAGUGAAGUUAACUGAACGCUGCACUUGAAAGACUAAUGAAAAAUUUGGGGGAAACUUGAACACGCGUCGCUUCGCGCCCCUCUUGUUGAUCAAGCGAUAUACACGUGUAUAUAUACAUAUAUAUAAAUAUAUAUAUAUAUAUAACGAUACACGUUAUUUCCAAUUUUUCUUGAUUUUUUUUUCUCCUUUUCUUUUCUUUUCUUUUCUUUUCUUUUUUUCUCCCUCCCUCGUUUUCGAAAUCCAUUCCAUUGACCGAUCAAGCAAGAUCAAUUUUUCCUUGUUUCGUCACGACAGAAGAUAUUUCUCAUUUGAUGAUGUUCAAACGCGUGGCGACGCCCGUUCAAGCACCCUCCGAUCCGCGUCCGAGUCCCACAGUCCUUCGCCUCGUCUCCGUAGUGAGUGCCUCCGCGAUUUAUCGAAUAAACGCGACGGCUGUGUGCACGAUCGCUGCCUGUCCUUAGAAUAUAUAGAGUCGAGUACGUUUAAUUAAUAAUUAUGCGUGUAUGCGUUACGGUUAACUGUUAAUUAACUUGACUU